GACGAACGCUGGCGGCGUGCUUAACACAUGCAAGUCGAACGGAAAGGCCCUGCUUGCAGGGUACUCGAGUGGCGAACGGGUGAGUAACACGUGGGUGAUCUGCCCUGCACUUCGGGAUAAGCCUGGGAAACUGGGUCUAAUACCGGAUAGGAGCCAUUUUUAGUGUGAUGGUUGGAAAGUUUUUUCGGUGUAGGAUGAGCUCGCGGCCUAUCAGCUUGUUGGUGGGGUAAUGGCCUACCAAGGCGGCGACGGGUAGCCGGCCUGAGAGGGUGGACGGCCACAUUGGGACUGAGAUACGGCCCAGACUCCUACGAGAGGCAGCAGUGGGGAAUAUUGCACAAUGGGCGCGAGCCUGAUGCAGCGACGCCGCGUGGGGGAUGACGGCCUUCGGGUUGUAAACUCCUUUCGCUAGGGACGAAGCUUUUUGUGACGGUACCUAGAUAAGAAGCACCGGCUAACUACGUG
rnacentral:rRNA from 1 species